UACAGAGGGGGCAAGCGUUGUUCGGAAUUACUGGGCGUAAAGGGCGCGUAGGCGGCCAACUAAGUCAGACGUGAAAUCCCCAGGCUCAACCUGGGAACUGCGUCUGAUACUGGAUGGCUUGAGUUCGGGAGAGGGAAGUGGAAGUUCCAGGUGUAGCGGUGAAAUGCGUAGAUAUCUGGAGGAAUACCGGUGGCGAAGGCGGCAUCCUGGACCAUUACUGACGCUGAGGCGCGGAAAGCUAGGG
rnacentral:rRNA from 1 species